CGUCCUGUUUAAUGAUGCCUGGUUACAAGUCAUCGCUAAUUUGAUGUUUUUGUUCUAUUUUUGCCUGGUUGAAUGGCUUAACUCCAUAUCGAAUGGCUGCUAGGAAGGGAGAAGAAAACACGAACUUCUAAACCCACUCAACCUUAGCUUGUUGUUGGUCUCCCGCAAGCUGGCAUGCCUGGUUAAUUGUCUAGUAGUUUAACGUUGAAGACAACUAACUGUCCUUGAUCAUCAUCAGCUCCCAUUGCCUCUUUUCAUUUUUGCUUUAUUUAGGUAACUGCUUCACCCCUUCACCUCUGAUCUUUAUUGAACAGUCUCUUGAGUUCCAGGCAGCCAUCUGGUCUACGCCCCUACUUUCGUUUUUCUGCUUUCACCUUCCUCCUCCUCUUUGGUCUUAAAGGUGGGGAAUUUUGGCUGCUGUUGUCCUGAAAAACUAGCCCUCAGCUGGAAAGCAGCCUUUCUCUGAACACACAUCAGGCCCGGCGCACCUGUCUGCUGGCAUGGACAUGCCAGGCACUUGUCUCCCUCGUGGCCCAUCAGACACAGCUGAAUACUUUUGGCUGAUGCACUUGCAAUUUGGUUAUUCAUUUUCUGCUCUCAGCUGAAUGUAGACCACCUGGCCAUAGCUUGGCUCACCCACUUCCUAGUUCUGGCAGAUGGAGUCUGGCAUCCACAGUGUGUUUCCUCUUUCCCUCCUUUUCCACUAACUCCAUUAGACUGAAAGCAAAGGCGCUAAGGAAACCAAGAAUGAAGUGGCAGAUAUGGGCCAUCAUCUUUGAGGGUGUGAAACACGAUUGGAAACCCUAUCUUGGUGGCCCUCUUUAGCUUGGAUCAUGUGGGUCUCACUCCAUGAUGGUGUGAAAGCCACCUCAAGGAAGGCUAGGGUGCUGCAACCUUAGCUCUGUUGCCAUAAACCCAGGAGCAGAGGACCACAGAGGAGGAAGUCCUGCUUAGAGGAACAGAAUGGACUGGUGGCGGCGAGCUUUGAGAUCCUACACCUCAAACCCAGGAACCUGUUAUGACUGGGUUAUCUCCUUCCUCUCAGUGGGAGUUGGAACAACUAUGAGUCGGCAUCCUGACUUUUGGCCCCUUUACAUGAAACCAUAUGUGGAGGAACUAGGUAAGAAUGGCUUCCAGACUCUGACCUGGAGUCUCUGUAGCCUCAUGCACUAUGAGACAGGGCUGGAGAGUCAUCAUGAGAACAUGAACCACCAUCCAGUUGGCAAGGCACUGGGAAGGAACUCAAAGGUCUGUGGAGAGCCCUAGCCUAGCACCUGAGGAUGCUAGUAUUAAAGACUGAGCCUCACCAGUGUCCCAUGGUUUCAGUUCCCCCAUCCUUAUUCAUGAAAGAGAAGAGAGUCUCAGCCAAUUGUAGCAAAGUCCUGGGAGCACAGAGGUGUGAGAGACAUGUUUACAGUGGUGAGGGAGUCUGAGGGUGUCCAGGCUUUCCCUUGGAAUGUGGCAAAAAGGAGGGCUUAAGGGUGGUUGGGAAGGCUGAGAGUCCUGGAAGGCCAGAGGUGGUAAUGGGCUCACUAAGGUGGGAGCAACCUUCCAGAAGGAAGAUGAGGGCCAGUGAGACACAUGAGGACAGGGACAGAUGUUUCGACAGAGCCUGUCACGGGGAUAGAAGUGGGCAUGGGGAAGAAGAACUCUGAACAAGAAGGCAUGAUCUGUUUCUUUAUUACAGUGUUAAUUUACUUAUGAGUGUUUUGCCUGAAUUUAUGUCUGUGCACCGCAUGCAUGCAAUGCCCACAUAGGCCAGAAGAUGACGACAGAUCCCCUUGAGCUGGAGUUACAGAUGGAUGUGAGCUACCAUGUAGGUGACUGGAACUGAACCUGGGUCCUCU